rnacentral:rRNA from 1 species
GUGAAGUAGAGGUAGGCGGAAUUCCCGGUGUANNNNUGAAAUGCGUAGAGAUCGGGAGGAACACCAGUGGCGAAGGCGGCCUACUGGGCUUUAACUGACGCUGAGGCACGAAAGCAUGGGUAGCAAACAGGAUUAGAUACCCUGGUAGUCCAUGCCGUAAACGAUGAUUACUAGGUGUGGGGGGUCUGACCCCCUCCGUGCCGGAGUUAACACAAUAAGUAAUCCACCUGGGGAGUACGACCGCAAGGUUGAAACUCAAAGGAAUUGACGGGGGCCCGCACAAGCAGUGGAGUAUGUGGAUUAAUUCGAAGCAACGCGAAGAACCUUACCAGGUCUUGACAUCCAGCUAACGAAGUAGAGAUACAUUAGGUGCCCUUCGGGGAAAGCUGAGACAGGUGGUGCAUGGUUGUCGUCAGCUCGUGUCGUGAGAUGUUGGGUUAAGUCCCGCAACGAGCGCAACCCUUACUGUUAGUUGCUACGCAAGAGCACUCUAGCAGGACCGCCGUUGACAAAACGGAGGAAGGUGGGGAUGAUGUCAAAUCAUCAUGCCCCUUAUGACCUGGGCCUCACACGUACUACAAUGGCCGUAAACAGAGGGAAGCAAUACCGCGAGGUGGAGCAAAACCCUAAAAACGGUCCCAGUUCGGAUUGUAGGCUGCAACCCGCCUGCAUGAAGUUGGAAUUGCUAGUAAUCGCGGAUCAGCAUGCCGCGGUGAAUACGUUCCCGGGCCUUGUACACACCGCCCGUCACACCAUGGGAGCCGGUAAUACCCGAAGUCAGUAGUCUAACCGCAAGGAGGGCGCUGCCGAAGGUAGGAUUGGCGACUGGGGUGAAGUCGUAACAAGGUAACC